UAGAUCUAAUACCAUUUUUUUAAAAGAAAAAUUUUUCUGCCCAUCAGCAGUAAUUUAAUUGCUCUUUCUCCAAGUGCAAGAAGCGGAGGGUUCUCAGGUUACUUUUCACUGUAUAGCCUACCAAUUGCUACCAGACCAUUGUGUCUCCACUGGAAAAAAAAUUUCUGACAAGAGAGAGUGUAAGAUUCUUUCCAUUCCAUCCUUUAGAAGAAGUUCGCAGAUGCAAGAAUUGAGCACUUCUCCAUCCGCAACGCGGUGCCAAGGUUAAUCUUCCGAUCAUUAUCUAUAGUAAUCGCCACAACUGUCGCUGCCAUGUUUCCUUUCUUCAGAGACAUUAAUGAGUGCUUGAAGCAUUUGGAUUCAUACCUCUAGACAUCAUUUUGUCUGUGGUCUUCUAUAACUUGACUUUCAACCAUCCAAGAAGGGAAUAAUGUUUUGGGGGAACACAUUGAUUGUUAUAAUCUUUUCAAUACUGGGACUUCUGGUUACAGUAUCUCCAAUUCGGUAAAUAGUUCUUGAUGCCAAUACACAGCUUUUUUGCUAACGUUUAAUCACAGUAGCUACAUAAACUUCUUUGGGGUGACCAGGAUCCACACUCUUCCAAAUGCUAUGUGGAGCAACGAUAACUCACAUGCAAUUAAGCAGUGAUAAAGAGCUCCUUUUCUAAUUAUAUUUUCUAGAUUGAAAAUUUUUGGAGAAUUAGUGAAUAAACAAAUGCAACAUAAUUGCACAGAAGUUCAUCUAUCUCCCACAAGGUCCCAAAUGAACAAGUCAGAUAUUAUGGCAUUUACCCAUGCUACAGAAAUAUCAUGAUUAAGCAAUUGGCAGGAGAUAUCAAACCAGAAAGCUGGAUUUUUUCACCUUUUGGUUCAAGGGAGGAGCAGAGAGAAGUACGAUUUGACUCCCCAAAUAUAAAAUGCCUACAUCAUUAAUUGAUGGUACCCAAUACUUCAGUCACUUUCAAAUUCUGUUUCUUCAUUUCUUGAUCUCCAGUGGACCUUACUGCCUCUCAUUGCAUUUGCCAACUCUUUUAUUGAACAAGAAGUGCUUCGCUCCAUUUUACCUGCAAGUAUCUCUAUAUUAUCCAACAAUCCUAGCCCUAUUAGCCUGUUUCUCAACAUCUCAACGGUACAGGAAUAUGGUGGUACUCCUUCAUCAAUCAUCAUCUCAAAGUACUUACAUGCCUCCUCAAGUUUACCAUGUUUCUUGGACAAACCAUGAACCAUAACAGCAUAUGUUGAGACUGAAGGAUAAAAGCCCCUCUCCGCCAUACUCUCCCAAACUUCAGUUGCUCUAUCAAAUCUCCCAACUCUUAUCAGCAGUUUGAGCAACAUGUUAUAACUAUGUCGAUCCGGUGAGCAAUCAUCUUUCACCAUUCUAGAGAUCAGCCUAGUAGCUCUAUUGACCUCAGAAUGCUCACAAUGAUAAGCUAAUAUUGCAUUGUAACUCCAUGCAUCAGGGCUACCUCCCCUCUCAAUCAUCUCAUUCAAAAGUUGAUAAGCCUCUUCUACCUUGUCAUUCUUGCAAAGUUUCUUGAUGAUGCAAUUAUAAGUGAACGCAUUAGGCAUGAGAUCAUAUCGCCGCAUUUCAUCAAGCACUCUGAAAGCCAAAUGAAUAUCACUUGCCUCACAAUACGCACGAAUGAAAAUCGAAUAACUACAAGCAUCUGGCUCAAUUCCAUUUGAACUCAUUUCUCGAAACAUCUUAUAGGCUUCACUGACUCUUCCUCCCUUGCAAAAAGCCUCUAACAAGCAAUUAUAAGCAAGCACAUCCACCGCACAUUGUUGGUCACGCAUUUCGUCAAACACUUUACAUGCUGACUCUGAUUCGCCAAUAUCACCCCAUCCCCUGACCAAAAUGCUAUAAGUUUUCAGUUUAGGCUCAUAUUGACGCUUAACUCUAUCAAAAAAUUGCUGGGCAACCUUCACAUGCUUCCUUUUGCAUAACACAUACAACAACUGAUCAAGAUCAUCAAUGGUAGGCUUUAAACCAAACUCAACCAUUCUGUCAAAAGCACGAAUUGCAUCACCUGGCAAAUUAGCUCUACUAUAAGCUCUAAAAACAAGCCAAAAAGUUUGUGGGGUUAUAUUAAAAUCUCGACAUUCUCUCAUUUCCAUCAAGAAAUCCCAUAAAAUAGCAAACUGCUUACUAGCACCCAAUAUAUCCACCAAAACGUGAUAGCUUUCUACACUAUGCUCAAAACCUUGAAUUCUUUUAGCCCAAAGGAAAAAUCUGUGGGCAGAGAAUCCAAGAUUCUUGCAGCGUUUCAAGACUUGCUCUACUAAGUCGGUGGAUAUCUUUGAAGAGUAAGUGUUGAGAGAAAGCUCCAAGUCAUGAUGGGGGUUUCUGUGGUCACUGAGAAUGCGAGAGAUCUCAUUCACAAGUUCUGGUGAUGACUGGUUCGCAUUGGGUGGAGUGAGAAGAGAGAGAGAGUGAGGACGAAGAUGGGAGUAGGGGCUGUGGAGAGAAUAGAAGACAGAGCACAAUAUUCUGCUUUUAGAGGCAAGCGAUCUUACUGCCAUUUUGGAAGCUCAUCCAAUAAUCUCUGUUUUUGGUAUGAGAAGGCAAUGCAUGGACUAUUGGAUGGAAAUUAUUUCGAACCAUUGGAUCUGUUUCCG
rnacentral:misc_RNA from 1 species